GCUACGGGAGGCAGCAGUGAGGAAUAUUGGUCAAUGGACGCAAGUCUGAACCAGCCAAGUAGCGUGCAGGAUGACGGCCCUCCGGGUUGUAAACUGCUUUUAGUUGGGAAUAAAAGGGGGCUCGUGAGCCCCGUAUUGUAUGUACCAUCAGAAAAAGGACCGGCUAAUUCCGUGCCAGCAGCCGCGGUAAUACGGAAGGUGCGGGCGUUAUCCGGAUUUAUUUGGUUUAAAGGGAGCGUAGGCCGGCUUUUAAGUCAGCUGUGAAAGUCCGCGGCUCAACCGUGGAAUUGCAGUUGAAACUGGCAGUCUUGAGUACAGUUGAGGUAGGCGGAAUUCGUGGUGUAGCGGUGAAAUGCUUAGAUAUCACGAAGAACCCCGAUUGCGAAGGCAGCUUACUAAACUGUGACUGACAUUGAUGCUCGAAAGUGUGGGUAUCAAACAGGAUUAGAUACCCCGGUAGUC
rnacentral:rRNA from 1 species